CCGGAGCCAACUGGAUGGAAAGAGAGACUUUUGAUUUCUAUGGAAUCAAAUUCAAAGGACAUCCGGACUUGAG
rnacentral:misc_RNA from 1 species